rnacentral:tRNA from 1 species
ACUUGAAUAACUUAUAAUUAGAGUAUAACAUUGAAGAUGUUGAUGAGGUUAAAUUAACCUUCAAGUG